AGCGAACGCUGGCGGCGUGCCUAACACAUGCAAGUCGAGCGUGAAAGUCCUUCGGGAUGAGUAAAGCGGCGUCCGGGUGAGUAACACGUAGGUAAUCUACCUUAGAGUAUGGGAUAACCUGCCGAAAGGCGGGCUAAUACCGUAUAGAGCGAGAUAGAUGUAAAGUCUGUUUCGGGAAAGGGAUAAACCUCGCUCUAAGAUGAGCCUGCGUCCCAUUAGCUAGUUGGUAAGGUAACGGCUUACCAAGGCAGUGAUGGGUAGCUGGUCUGAGAGGAUGAUCAGCCACACUGGCACUGAAACACGGGCCAGACUCCUACGGGAGGCAGCAGUGGGGAAUAUUGCGCAAUGGACGAAAGUCUGACGCAGCAACGCCGCGUGAGUGAAGAGGCCUGG
rnacentral:rRNA from 1 species